rnacentral:rRNA from 1 species
CGUAGGGCGCGAGCGUUGUCCGGAAUUAUUGGGCGUAAAGGGCUUGUAGGCGGCUGGUCGCGUCUGCCGUGAAAUCCUCUGGCUCAGCUGGGGGCGUGCGGUGGGGUACGGGCUGGCUUGAGUGCGGUAGGGGAGACUGGAACUCCUGGUGUAGCGGUGGGAAUGCGCAGAUAUCAGGAGGAACACCGGUGGCGAAGGCGGGUCUCUGGGCCGUUACUGACGCUGAGGAGCGAAAGCGUGGGGGAGCGAACAGGAUU